rnacentral:rRNA from 1 species
GACGAACGCUGGCGGCGUGCUUAACACAUGCAAGUCGAACGGAAAGGCCCUGCUUUUGUGGGGUGCUCGAGUGGCGACCGGGUGAGUAAAACGUGGGUAACCUGCCCUUGCCUUUGGGAUAACUUCAGGAAACUGGGGCUAAUACCGGAUAGGAGCUCCUGCGGCAGGGUGGGGGUUGGAAAGUUUCGGCGGUUGGGGAUGGACUCGCGGCUUAUCAGCUUGUUGGUGGGGUAGUGGCUUACCAAGGCUUUGACGGGUAGCCGGCCUGAGAGGGUGACCGGCCACAUUGGGACUGAGAUACGGCCCAGACUCCUACGGGAGGCAGCAGUGGGGAAUAUUGCACAAUGGGCGGAAGCCUGAUGCAGCAACGCCGCGUGCGGGAUGACGGCCUUCGGGUUGUAAACCGCUUUCGCCUGUGACGAAGCGUGAGUGACGGUAAUGGGUAAAGAAGCACCGGCUAACUACGUG